rnacentral:rRNA from 1 species
AUUUAAAUUAUAUAAUUUUUUAAGUAAUUUUGAUUAAAUAAAUAAAGUAAUAAUAUAAAAUUAAUAAUAUUUAGUAAUAUGAAUAAAAAAUAUAAUAAUUAAAUAUAAAUAGUAUUGUAAAAGAAUAAAAAUAUUAUUUUAAAAUAAAUAUUAAAAUUUUUUACCUUUUGUAUCAGGGUUUAUUAAAUUUAAUAAAUAAAAAUUUUAAUUCUCGAAAUAAACUGAUCUAUUUAUAUAUGAUAAUUAAUGUAACAAUAUUAUUAUUAAUUUAUAAAUAGUAAUGAGAGGUUAUUCAUAGUUUAUAUAUCUAGUUAUUUUAUAAAUAAAUUUAAUUUAAUUAAAAUUAAAUUAUAUAUAUUUACUAUAAAAUAUAUAUAUUAAUUUUAAUAAAAUUAUUAGGGAUAAACUUAAUAAUUAUAUUAAUAUAUUAAUAAUAAAUAAAUAAUUAUAAUAAAAAUAAUAAUUUUUAUUUAUAAAUAAUUUAUAAUAAUUAAUAAAUAAUAAAUAUAAUUUUAAAAUUAUUUAAUUAUAUAUAAAAUUAUUAGUUUUAAUUAAAUUAAAUUAAUUAAUAAUGAUAAAAUUAGUAAAUAAAAUUUAAUAAAAUUAUAUAAAAUAAAGAUUAUUUUAAGGAAUUAGGCAAAAAUUUUUAUUCACCUGUUUAUUAAAAACAUGGUUUGUUGAAUUAAUAAUAAUAAAUCAAUUCUGCUCAAUGAAAUUAUUUAAAUAGCUGCAGUAUUUUGACUGUACAAAGGUAGCAUAAUCAAUUGUCUUUUUAUUAAAGUCUAGAAUGAAAGAAAUAAUGAAAUAAAAACUGUCUCAAAAUAAAUAAAUUUUAAAAUUUAUUAUAAGUUAAAAUUCUUAUAUUUUUAUAAAAGACGAGAAGACCCUAUAGAAUUUUAUUAUUAUAUUAAUUAAUAUUAUUAAAUUUAAAUAAUUUAUAUUAUUAUAAUAAUUAUAUUGGGGGGAUAAUAAAAUUUAAUUAAUUUUUAUAAUUUUUUUUUCUAAUAUAUUAGAAUUAUGUAACCAAUAUUAUUGAAUUUAAAUAAAUUACCUUAGGGAUAACAGCGUUAAAUUUUUAAAGAGUUCAUAUUGAUAAAAAUUUUUGCGACCUCGAUGUUGAAUUAAAAUUAAUUAUUAUUGUAGAUAAUAAUAAAAUUUAGUCUGUUCGACUAUUAAAAUUUUACAUGAUUUGAGUUUAGAUCGGUGUAAGCCAGAUCGGUUUCUAUCUUUAUAAUAUUAAAUAUAUUUUUGUACGAAAGGACUUAAUAUAAAUAAUAAUUAUUAAAUUCAUGAAUAAAAUUAUUGUAA